rnacentral:rRNA from 1 species
GCAGCCGCCGCGGGAAUACAGAGGGUGCGAGCGUUAAUCGGAUUUACUGGGCGUAAAGCGUGCGUAGGCGGCUUCUUAAGUCGGAUGUGAAAUCCCUGAGCUUAACUUAGGAAUUGCAUUCGAUACUGGGAAGCUAGAGUAUGGGAGAGGAUGGUAGAAUUCCAGGUGUAGCGGUGAAAUGCGUAGAGAUCUGGAGGAAUACCGAUGGCGAAGGCAGCCAUCUGGCCUAAUACUGACGCUGAGGUACGAAAGCAUGGGGAGCAAACAGGAUUAGAUACCCCCGUAGUCCCUGUCUCUUAUAC